CGGUGGCGCAGUGGUUAGCGCUCUUGCCUCAAAGCAAGAAGGCCCUCGGUUCAAGUCCCAGCUG
rfam:Oryzias latipes DNA, chromosome21, strain: Hd-rR.